rnacentral:lncRNA from 1 species
CAGCCGGAAGCGAAAGGAAGGGCUGGGGAGAGAUGGGCAGCUCCGCGGCGAGAGAGCGGGUCGUGGAGUCGGGGUGUCCGCGCCGUGCUCAGGGGCUACCUCCACCGAUUCGGGGAAGUCCGCCCGAUUCUCCACGCAUUCCUGACGACUUGGUCACCCGCUGCUGCCUCCCUCCUGACUCUAUUAGAUAAAACCGACAGCCCACUCGCCACCCCUACUACUAAAAAGAGUGAUGAUCUUGAGGCUCUGGUUUGAAUUUCUGGAGUACAUCACUGGCAGGCAAGACGGGAUCAGAAUGCACACCUCCCUUAUGUUUGGAAACUCAAUAUGAACUCCAAUAAUUCCAGAUCUGCCACUCAUGCAUUGGCUCUUACAAAUGCAGAUAGUUGAUCCUAAUUAACAAAUCAUGCAAGUAUAUACAUAGCUGCAGCCAGGCGCUGCAAUCUACCUUUGAUUAACUAAAAGUCAACAUAAAUCUUCCUCAACAACCUCAGAUAAAGCUACUUUUCAUACUGUUUCCUGAUUUCUAAGCAUAUGUUGAACUCCCACCACUUGCCUUUAAAGGUAACCUCUGAUUCUGGUAAAUUUUAACACACCUGCUUACCUUCAUCUAAGCCAUUUUGGUUUUUUGUUUUUUGUUUUUUUUUAGAACAUUAGUAACUUGAAGGUUUCCCAUAGCAAAUCAGGGAAGGAGCCAGGAAUACAAAAUAAAUCCCUUAACUCCUGGUCCAGCCUCUAGAUUAUACCCUUUCUUCGUUGACCAGAGGGAAAUAUUUGUAUGUGAUCAUCCUAAUUUUUGAAAGAACAAAGACUGUUGCAAUCCAGCUGUGUUUCCAGAAGGUAUGAGAAAACAAUGCUGGCCUCCAGAUGACAAGAACAGAUACUUCUGAGCCUGGGAAAAGCUUAGGGAAACAGCUGAUGAAUGGAUUGUACAUUCACACACCCAAAUGGGCAGCAAAGAAAGGGAUCUUGAACCAAGUCCUGCCUUACUCACUAUAAUGACAUCAGUACCACUGAACAAACCAAGAGUUGCUUUGGGGAAUUUGGUUGAUGUUGCCUUAAAAAAAAGCUAGUAUUGUUUUAAUUCAAGUGUGAGCAUUCCUCUAUUUGCAAAUGCGUUUUCCUCAAAAUAACUCUUUUGUUCCCCAGUCUGCUCCUCCACUUUCCUCUCAAGCUAGCCUAAACACGGCUGCUGACAUUCACCAAAGUGAAGCACUAAAAAGCUCCCCGUGAUUCAAAAGUAAACAUUUUCCACUCUAGCAAUGAGGGAAUUUGCUUCUUCUAAUUCUUCAGCAAUGACAAAUCAACUAGUCAAUCGGCCCUGUUUCUAAUCCAGUCCUGAAGCACAGAAU